rnacentral:rRNA from 1 species
UACGAAGGGGGCUAGCGUUGCUCGGAAUUACUGGGCGUAAAGGGCGCGUAGGCGGUUAGUUUAGUCAGAGGUGAAAGCCCAGGGCUCAACCCUGGAAUUGCCUUUGAUACUGGCUAUCUUGAGUUCGGGAGAGGUGAGUGGAACUCCGAGUGUAGAGGUGAAAUUCGUAGAUAUUCGGAAGAACACCAGUGGCGAAGGCGACUCACUGGCCCGAUACUGACGCUGAGGCGCGAAAGCGUGGGGAGCAAACAGG